rnacentral:rRNA from 1 species
GACGAACGCUGGCGGCGUGCUUAACACAUGCAAGUCGAACGGAAAGGCCCUGCUUUUGUGGGGUGCUCGAGUGGCGAACGGGUGAGUAACACGUGAGUAACCUGCCCUUGACUUUGGGAUAACUUCAGGAAACUGGGGCUAAUACCGGAUAGGAGCUCCUGCUGCAUGGUGGGGGUUGGAAAGUUUCGGCGGUUGGGGAUGGACUCGCGGCUUAUCAGCUUGUUGGUGGGGUAGUGGCUUACCAAGGCUUUGACGGGUAGCCGGCCUGAGAGGGUGACCGGCCACAUUGGGACUGAGAUACGGCCCAGACUCCUACGGGAGGCAGCAGUGGGGAAUAUUGCACAAUGGGCGGAAGCCUGAUGCAGCAACGCCGCGUGCGGGAUGACGGCCUUCAGGUUGUAAACCGCUUUCGCCUGUGACGAAGCGUGAGGGACGGUAAUGGGUAAAGAAGCACCGGCUAACUACGUG